rnacentral:rRNA from 1 species
GAUGAACGCUGGCGGCGUGCCUAAUACAUGCAAGUCGAGCGAACGGACGAGAAGCUUGCUUCUCUGAUGUUAGCGGCGGACGGGUGAGUAACACGUGGAUAACCUACCUAUAAGACCGGGAUAACUUCGGGAAACCGGAGCUAAUACCGGAUAAUAUUUUGAACCGCAUGGUUCAAAAGUGAAAGACGGUCUUGCUGUCACUUAUAGAUGGAUCCGCGCUGCAUUAGCUAGUUGGUAAGGUAACGGCUUACCAAGGCAACGAUGCAUAGCCGACCUGAGAGGGUGAUCGGCCACACUGGAACUGAGACACGGUCCAGACUCCUACGGGAGGCAGCAGUAGGGAAUCUUCCGCAAUGGGCGAAAGCCUGACGGAGCAACGCCGCGUGAGUGAUGAAGGUCUUCGGAUCGUAAAACUCUGUUAUUAGGGAAGAACAUAUGUGUAAGUAACUGUGCACAUCUUGACGGUACCUAAUCAGAAAGCCACGGCUAACUACGUGCCAGCAGCCGCGGUAAUACGUAGGUGGCAAGCGUUAUCCGGAAUUAUUGGGCGUAAAGCGCGCGUAGGCGGUUUUUUAAGUCUGAUGUGAAAGCCCACGGCUCAACCGUGGAGGGUCAUUGGAAACUGGAAAACUUGAGUGCAGAAGAGGAAAGUGGAAUUCCAUGUGUAGCGGUGAAAUGCGCAGAGAUAUGGAGGAACACCAGUGGCGAAGGCGACUUUCUGGUCUGUAACUGACGCUGAUGUGCGAAAGCGUGGGGAUCAAACAGGAUUAGAUACCCUGGUAGUCCACGCCGUAAACGAUGAGUGCUAAGUGUUAGGGGGUUUCCGCCCCUUAGUGCUGCAGCUAACGCAUUAAGCACUCCGCCUGGGGAGUACGACCGCAAGGUUGAAACUCAAAGGAAUUGACGGGGACCCGCACAAGCGGUGGGGCAUGUGGUUUAAUUCGAAGCAACGCGAAGAACCUUACCAAAUCUUGACAUCCUUUGACAACUCUAGAGAUAGAGCCUUCCCCUUCGGGGGACAAAGUGACAGGUGGUGCAUGGUUGUCGUCAGCUCGUGUCGUGAGAUGUUGGGUUAAGUCCCGCAACGAGCGCAACCCUUAAGCUUAGUUGCCAUCAUUAAGUUGGGCACUCUAAGUUGACUGCCGGUGACAAACCGGAGGAAGGUGGGGAUGACGUCAAAUCAUCAUGCCCCUUAUGAUUUGGGCUACACACGUGCUACAAUGGACAAUACAAAGGGCAGCGAAACCGCGAGGUCAAGCAAAUCCCAUAAAGUUGUUCUCAGUUCGGAUUGUAGUCUGCAACUCGACUACAUGAAGCCGGAAUCGCUAGUAAUCGUAGAUCAGCAUGCUACGGUGAAUACGUUCCCGGGUCU